rnacentral:rRNA from 1 species
AUUGAACGGCUGCGGCAUGCCUUACACAUGCAAGUCGAACGGCAGCGCGGACUUCGGUCUGGCGGCGAGUGGCGAACGGGUGAGUAAUGUAUCGGAACGUGCCCUAGAGUGGGGGAUAACGUAGCGAAAGUUACGCUAAUACCGCAUACGAUCUACGGAUGAAAGUGGGGGACCGCAAGGCCUCACGCUCAUGGAGCGGCCGAUAUCUGAUUAGCUAGUUGGUAGGGUAAAAGCCUACCAAGGCGACGAUCAGUAGCUGGUCUGAGAGGACGACCAGCCACACUGGGACUGAGACACGGCCCAGACUCCUACGGGAGGCAGCAGUGGGGAAUUUUGGACAAUGGGGGAAACCCUGAUCCAGCAAUGCCGCGUGUGUGAAGAAGGCCUUCGGGUUGUAAAGCACUUUUGUCAGGAACGAAACGGUGGGGGCUAAUAUCCUCUGCUAAUGACGGUACCUGAAGAAUAAGCACCGGCUAACUACGUGCCAGCAGCCGCGGUAAUACGUAGGGUGCGAGCGUUAAUCGGAAUUACUGGGCGUAAAGCGUGCGCAGGCGGUUGUGCAAGACAGAUGUGAAAUCCCCGGGCUUAACCUGGGAAUUGCAUUUGUGACUGCACGGCUAGAGUGUGUCAGAGGGGGGUAGAAUUCCACGUGUAGCAGUGAAAUGCGUAGAUAUGUGGAGGAAUACCGAUGGCGAAGGCAGCCCCCUGGGAUAACAC